rnacentral:siRNA from 1 species
AUCGAAUAAAGGUGACGGUUCGGU